rnacentral:rRNA from 1 species
GCGGCGUGCUUAACACAUGCAAGUNUAAGGGGAAAGUUCCUUCGGGAAUAAGUAUACUGGCGAACGGGUUAGUAACGCGUAGGCAACCUGCCCUCAAGUUKGGGAUAACUCCGCGAAAGCGGGGCUAAUACCGGAUAAUAUCCUAUCUCACAAGAGACUAGGAUUAAAGAAGGCUUCGGCUUUUGCUUUUGGAUGGGCCUGCGUCUGAUUAGUUUGUUGGUGAGGUAACGGCUCACCAAGGCGAUGAUCAGUAGCUGGUUUGAGAGGACGAUCAGCAACAUUGGGACUGAGAUACGGCCCAGACUCCUACGGGAGGCAGCAGUGGGGAAUUUUGCGCAAUGGGCGAAAGCCUGACGCAGCAACGCCGCGUGAUUGAAGAAGCUCUGCGGAGUGUAAAGAUCUGUCAUAGGGGAAGAAAAAUUUCGUUAUUAACACCAUCGGAACGUGACGGUACCCUAUAAGAAAGCCCCGGCUAACUUCGUGCCAGCAGCCGCGGUAAUACGAGGGGGGCAAGCGUUGUCCGGAUUCAUUGGGCGUAAAGAGUUCGUAGGCGGGUCAGUCAGUCGAAAUUGAAAUCCCACGGCUUAACCGUGGUUCCGGUUUCGAUACUGCUGAUCUUGAGUGAGGUAGAGGUAAGCGGAAUUCCUGGUGUAGCGGUGAAAUGCGUAGAUAUCAGGAGGAACACCGAAGGCGAAGGCAGCUUACUGGGCCUAUACUGACGCUGAGGAACGAAAGCGUGGGGAGCAAACAGGAUUAGAGACCCUGGUAGUCCACGCCGUAAACGAUGAGUACUUGGUGGUGGGGGAUUCGACCCCUUCACUGUCGGAGCUAACGCGUUAAGUACUCCGCCUGGGGACUACNACCGCAAGGUUGA